CCCUCCUACAGAGGCAUGUCUGUGGUUCCCUGUCUUUGGACAUGUAAAAAUUUGAGGCAAAGAGAUGUGGACUUGGAGAAGUCUGGAGCCAGUUAGUUCCCCACAGGCUCAAGAUUGCCUUUUCUCACACAC
rnacentral:snoRNA from 1 species